rnacentral:rRNA from 1 species
GACGAACGCUGGCGGCGUGCCUAAUACAUGCAAGUCGAACGCAGUGGGGACGGGUGAGUAACACGUGGGUAACCUCCCAUCAGAGGGGAUAACACUUGGAAACAGGUGCUAAACCGAUACUGAUGGAUGGACCCUCGGUGCAUUAGCUAGUUGGUGAGGUAACGGCUCACCAAGGCCACGGUGCAUAGCCGACCUGAGAGGGUGAUCGGCCACGCGGGGACUGAGACACGGCCCUGACUCCUACGGGAGGCAGAAGUAGGGAAUCUUCGGCAAUGGACGAAAGUCUGACCAUGCAACGCCGCGUGAGUGAAGAAGGUUUUCGGAUCGUAAAACUCUUUUGGUAGAGAAGCGGUAUCUAGCCAGAAAGCCACGGCUAACUACGUGCCAGCAGCCGCGGUAAUAC